AAAAAGAAAAAGAAAAAAAAAAAAAGAAGAGGCUGAGGGCUCAAUAUGAUUCACUUCAGCCGGCUUCAGAAUGACAUUUCCCUCUGUGGGUAGCAGUGACUCCUUACACACUUGAUUGCUCCAUUUCCUCCCUAACCCCCUCAGCAGACUUUGUUUUAUGCCAACUCAUACAGAACUCUCAGGAGCACAGGAAGCCUUUUGCUAUGUAAGAAGGACUCAAGCCCUUUCACAUGCUCUUGCCUCGUUUGUGAAAUUAGAUGCACAUGUAGCCGAAAUGCUAAGCGUGCUGGUCCUCUAGCAACAGGUUAGUUAAAAACAAAACCACUGUGGUCAACAGAUCUGUGUACACAUGUGGGUGUAUGUAUAUGCAGAGAGAGAGUGCUUUGUUAUGGUUUGAGUUGACUCAGUGGGAUUUGCAACCAAUAUUACUUUUCACAGGGCUGCCGAGACAGAGAUUUAACGUAUGAAUAACUAACCAACAUGAUCUGCUGCACACAGACUUGCUGAACCCAGUACCACGGAUAUCACACAUGGUCUCAAUAGGAACAAAGGUCUCAGAGGUUCUUCUAAAUUUAUCUGCUCCGGUCCUCUGCUGUCGCACACAACUACAUCUCAUACAUCUGUUCGCUCAGGGAACAUACGUAGCUGUCAUCCCAAGCUGUGUACUUUCUUCUGCCUGUAUUUUGUAAGGAAGAAAAAAGGGCAUGUUUUCUGACGUAUGUGCACACAGAACUGAGAAAACACCAGUAGAUGGUUCAUAAGAUCAUUAAAGGUGUCAUUAGUACAUCACCAUUUCACUGCCUGGAAAGACUCGCCACUCAUCCUCCACCUUGGGAAGACAACUGUUCUGAACAGCAGGACACCCCUCCUUAGGGUUAGUCCUGCUUAUUGAAGUAGAAACUCGUUAUUUAAUCUAUUUUUUUUGGGGGGGUGUAUGGAUGUCAUGUUUUUUUUUCUGCAGACAGUGCUAAUAUUUUUGUGCUCACAGAUUAAAAUUCAUAUACUUAUUUUUGAAAAAAAAAUAUACUGCUACUGAUUAAGCAAAGACAUCAAUAUGCUGUUUUAGGAAGGAGAAAAUGCAAGGGAAGAAAAGUAACUUGGACAGACAAGAACUUCUUUGUUCUCGCUCUCAUAGAUCUAAACCUUCACUGGAGGCUUCUUGUACGAGAAUCAGAGGUUUUAUUGUAGUGUGUGACAAUUGCUUUAUCCAUUGGGCUGAAUUCUUGAGUUUUGCAGUUAAAUUUGGAUAUCAAAGGAAUCUGAAGUAAGAUAAUAGAACUUCUCUCUGAUUAUUUUAAGUGGGAAAAGAUGUAGAUUAGGAGUAUCCUAUGUUAUCUUUCCUAUCUACCAGUCCUCUUCUCCAUCACUCAAAGGUCAGAGUUUACUCUAUUGAAUCUUCCGAUGCAGUGCACUGAGGCUGUCUCGUUUAUGACAAGCACUGGCUCGUGGUAUUGCAUUCAAGCAGAUUGUAUUGUAUUUGUCUGCUAUAAAAUAUUAAUUAGAUGGAAAUAUUAAAAUAACUGGGGAAAAUACAUUUAAAUCUCAUGGAGAGAGGUCAUCACUUCCAAACACUGGAAUCCAACCAAGAUAAUGCCUCUCUGUAUAAAGUUUUCUGUUCAGGCUUUGAGAUUAGUUUUCUGUUCAGGCUUUGACACUGGCUAUUGUUGCAAAAACCCAUGUUAAAGCUUCUGAUUGUGUUUGAGAAUGUCCAAAAUGAUACAAAUUCAAUUAGUUUUUGCAUUUUUCUCAAAUGCCAUGGGCAGAUCUUUCUUUUUGGACAAUGUUUCAUGUACUGAAUGUAUUUUUUUAUCUGUAUUUUGGUUCUAAUUCCAAAUGCCUCAAUGUUCUUGUUUGAAAUUGAGGAUGUUUUCCAUGUUUACCAGCUGUGUUUUCAAGUUCACACAACCAAUGAACCUGAAAGCACUAAAAGGCAAAUAUGUCUGUCAAUAUCUGACUCAGUAGGAACGUUCAAACUUAAGAAGCUUAAUGUGCUCAGAAAGAAAAGAGGGAGCAAAAGCCCUCAGAUAUUUUCCUCUCUUUGUCAUUCACAGUAGGCCAAAUUCUGCGUCCAUGCAUACGUUGUGUGUGUAUAACUGAUAAAACCUCAGUGAAUAAGAGAUUGCACUGCAUGUAAAUAAAUGAAAAUAGAAUGCAGAAUAUGGAUGAGAAAUGCAGAAACAAACAGUUUACCAUUCACAAAGCCAGCACACAAAUAUUUAAAUCCCAUGAAACAUCUCUUAUAUGGGCAUCCAGCCUGGCUUCAUGGAUGCUCUAAGAACCUGCAUGGUUGUACAUGUACGGUUGUAAUCAGAAUAUACCCAAGCCUGAAAUUUUCUAUCAAAAUGUGUGCCUGUAGAGCUACAUGCAUGCACAGCUCAACAGAAUUUGUGUUUGGCUCUUGAGUGUUUUGUGCACGCUUUGGUGUGCCUGUAUCUGAAUAUUUACAGGCCAGUGUGUGAGCUGUUGCUCCACAUCUGCUCUUUAAAUGAUGUGGAUGUGUCCUUCCUCAACUUCCCCCUGUGGCACGUAAGCCUUCCAGAGUCCCCGAACUCUGAGCCAGUGGUGAAUGCCUUGAGGAGAGAGAAUGUAGAAAUAUUUGAAUUGCUUUGAGACCAUCCUGUUCAGUGCUGAGGCAUUUAUAACAGGCAAGACUACUCCCGGGGAUAGUUCCGGUUCCUGUGAAUUCUUGUGAAGGUCUUUCAAAUCAGCAGGUAUCCAUCCUUCUGCAAGUGCCCCACAGUGACAACUGGGAUGCUUGAUGAGGCCUGCUCCCCUAGUGCCCCGUUCCAGUUUUGCACCUGAGCUCUGUAGUCGGUGACAGUAAGACAGUUGUUGCACUUCCUUGAAUAUUUUGUGCUGGCACAAUCUGGCAUGGAAUCACACUGGUCAGAAAUUAGUUCUAAGAAGAAAGGUGUAACUUUACUGAGAAAGAAAUGGAGGGAAAGGAAAAAAAGAAAAGAAAAGAAAAGAAAAAAGAAAAGAAAAAAGAAAAGAAAAGAGAAGAAAAGAAAAGAAAAGAAAAGAAAAGAAAAAAGAAAAGAAAAGAAAAGAAAAGAAAAGAAAAGAAAAGAAAAGAAAAGAAAAGAAAAGAAAAGAAAAGAAAAGAAAAGAAAAGAAAAGAAAAGAAAGCCGUUAAUUAUACGAAAUUCGAAAUUUUUGGAAGUGCACUUGAUAUCGAUACAAGUAUAAAUAUGUAAUAAUACCAUAGAACAGAAGGAUUUUCUAAGAAGUCAAAAAGCAGAAAAACAAAUGAGUGCACAGCGUGAAAUUGAAGUGCACCAUUUAGAUGUUGAAUACUCAAACAUAAUUUUAACCAAGUGAAGUAACUAAUCCGGCAGAUUAACCACUGUAUGGAGAAGUACAACCACAUGCAUGACUGAGACUGAUGUUGAGAAGGUGGGUAUAACAAUUUUACUCCCCAUCUUCCACCUGAGCCUCCUGGGAAUGACUUUGUGGGUGCUUUAUGGAUCAGGCUCUUUAGAUACAAAAUCCAAACCAGGCUGUGUCCAGCAGAAAGGUGGAGGGAAGCAGCUGACUUCUGUGCCGGAGAACGGCAAGCCUAAGGCAGUAAGAUGAAUUAAUGGGACAAUUCUUAUGUCCUUCUCUCCAAUUAAGAGGGAGAUGUUAGAAACUUGGCUUCUAGACAAGAAAGGUACCUUCCUUUCCCUGCCUUUCUCACCUGCUAAGGCAGAGGAAAUUUUCUUUGUAUAUUAUGCAUGGUUGCAUGUGUAUGUGUCCCUAUUGAUAGAUGGGCAUAUUGUUGAAGCGUCCCAUGCCUAGAAUUUCUAAAACCUACAUUUACAGAAAUUUGUGUGUUUUUAAAUUUGCUCAUUAACACAGUUCACACGUGAUAUAAAUAUCUUCCCUCCUUUUCCUGAAGUCGUGGCUCCCUCAGAUCAAAACCUUCCCAGGACGGGCUGCUCAGUCCAUUCUCUACAUCCUUUUCCCUGCAGGAUCUCCCACCUUCUUCCUAAUUAGGUGGAAGAAUGAACCCUACCACUCAAAUCAGUCAGUGAAAUCCACGUAACCCUUUCCCAGCAGGUUCAGCACAGACUCCUGUGUUGCGUUUUAGCUUAACGCUUACAAGCUCUUUUUGGUUUUCCCCUUUGUCUCAUUUAUCUGCAAUUCUUUGCUCCUUAUUAAAUCGCUAGCUGUCCUGGGAUUAUUUAGCUGCAUGAGCAGCUUUUCCCCCUGCCAGAGCCCUGCCUGUCAAUGCAGGAGCCCUUUCAUACAAGGCAGUCAUCCAUAAAAGAAAAGAAGGUGGAGGGGGUACAAGGAUUCACACCAGUGGAAACAAAGGCAGGUGAUGGGCGCUGGAGCUGUGUGCCUGCUCUCUGAUCUACCUUGCCUGCUUGCCCUGAGCACGGUGGCUUUAGCAACAUCUUUGUCCUCUGAAAGCCUCAGCCUGCAGAACGCAAUAAAUAAUGCCUCAGAGCAAUGUGACCUGUGGCAGGCAGUAAGCGAUGACAUUGUCAGACACACACAACUGUUGAAACAACCAGACUGUAAUCAUCACGCCGUACCCACAGAAAGACAUUUGGCAAAUGAGAUUCCAUUUUCACAUUGGUCUGUGCCGAGCAUGUAAAUUUCCAGCGGGACAACCAGCAUUAGGGAUGUGUAAUUGAUUGUCUGAAUUAUAAUAAACAAGCUGUGACAGGUGAUCAUCCAUCAUUUUCCUGCUGCAUGUUCCAGCAGCACUGUGAGAGGGGGAGAGAGAGAGCUGGAACGCGGACGGGGAAAAUGAAAAGUCGGAUUCAUAUGGAAACAGAAAAGAGGGGGGAACAGAAAAAAGGAUCGGGGUGGAAGUGAGAGGGGACUGCAACCAGGAGAAAAACAAGACAAAUGAAAGAGACUAAUUAAUUCCUGUGAUUUGUUAGGCAUUUGAUUGAAUUAAAAAAUCCCUUCUACUAUUACUGCCCUUGAGAACUGGAGGAUUUGCUGCAGUGGCUGCUAUUUGGAGCUAGGAAUGCUAAGAAAUAAAUACAAAGAAGAGGAAAGCAGGAAGGAGGAGCUGUGAUUAGAGCAGAACCAAUUACAAAAAGUGCGUUUGUGUGUGUGUGUGUGUGUAUGUGUGAGAGAACGAGGACUCCCAGCUUUGCCUCCUUGUUCAGGCUUAGGCACUUCAAUCUGUGACUGCAAAAACACUCUCAGCUUUUUAUGAUCAUACUAAAGAGAAUGCUGUCCCUGAUGCCUUAAUGUUGUAAAAGCCUGUGGUUUUACAGUGAUGCCGUCUCAAAGUGACCUGAAGGAUGGCUCUUCCCUAAAGCAGGGUGUGGAGGUGCGAGCGGUUCAGCUGUUUGUCUCCUGGGCCAGCCCUGUGAGCAGGGAGCUUACUGGUCUUGGAGAGGAGUGCAAAGACGUCUUGAAAAAAAUGAGGAAAUAGUUCCUCUGAAUAGAUCGGGCGAUAGAUUGGGCUGGUAUUUUCCUGAAGCAUUCCUCAUGCAAAUUAGAGUGUGAGGCUUUCCAGUGCUCCACUCUGAAGAUGACAGCACCUAUGGCAAUAAUUUGCCACUUCAAUAUCCCUGGUUUCCUUGGUUAUACUUGUUGUCUAUACAGAAUGAGUGAUCGGACAUCAUUUUAUAAAUUUAUGAAAUAUUGCAUGUCCGAGGCUUGCUCAUGGACAGUUUUUUGCCAUUAUUUGACAAUCACCCAAACUGCAAUUGUCAUGGUAUUGUUUGCAUUGGCUGGUUGAUCAAAUGCUCAGGCAUUUCCUGUACAGCCUUUUGCCAAUAAACAUCUGAAAUUUACUCUGUACAAACACGACAGUGACCAGAAUUUGUGGGAUAAAUGUUUAUGCAAAAAGGGUGUGAACAGAGCUGGUGCAAAUUCACCUACUUGUGUAGAAGACUGAAAACAACUACGGGGAAAAUUCUUCACAUCAUUGUUAUGAAAUUUAUGAGGAAAUGAUAUUAAAUUCUUUAAAUCAAUAUUAACAUGAUCAAAUAGCUGUAGUGACAGGCUCCAUAGCAUGGCUUGAGCUUUAAGGUUAAGCUUCUUUCCCGAAGGUAAAAAUAAUUGCAUCUUUCUGUGCAAUGACUGACUUGGAUGACAGAUCUCUGACUGCGACUUCUCUGCCCAGUUGUCAGGUUUGGUCCCGGCUGGCAUACUGGAGACCCGUGAAGCAGCGGCCGUUUGCUCCUUGAAUCCUUUAACAGGAAUUUGGUUUCGGCAUCCAACUUCACUGCGUGAACAGAGGUGGUGGAGGGAAGGCACACCGUAAACCACCACUUUCUGUAACCAGUUUCUAAAACCUUUGCUACGAAGCAGAAAUGAGGGUGGGGAUGGAAAAGCUUUGGAGCGAAGCAGGUUGUGCUCUGGGCAGAGACUUUCGGGAUCCAAGGCAGACUAUUUACCUUCUCUCUGCUUUCUUUUCUGCUUGUUAGUUUGUGAGUCAAGACGAACAUGGGAAGGGGUGCAGCUGGAGACAGGAUCUCUAAGGAGGCUAUCUCUAACAAGGCAAUGGGAGACAGUUCGAACUGGGAAGCUGCAGAGUGCUGUGCUGCCUGGUGUUUGACUAACUUCCCAAGCCGUGCUGUGCUCUCCAACAAACUGUGCUAUCCAACCCUUCUCUUCUGCAGCCUCCUCAUUCCGAGGUGACUCAUCCACAUUGCCAGGGAAUAGUGCACAGAGGUACCAAAAUUAAUUUUAGUCUGACUGCUCCUUCUUCUUGGAUAAGUUCCAGACAAAAAAUCAGAGCAGCUAUCAGGAGAAACUAGAUAUCACUUGUACAUAACAGCCUGGAAUGUUUCAACUGCGCCUUAUAUGGGGAUGCUUACGAGGGUCAUCUCUCCUUGAUGAAACCUUCAGAUUCCCAGACUCGUGCGCAGGCAGCACUGGGGGAACAGGCUUCAUCGUCAGAGGUGGGAGUUCUGUGGAGGACCAUAAAGGAGAACAGAAACAAAACCAGACUCUUCAAACACAGAUUCAGGAUUCUGCCCGUUGCCAAAAGGAGUCUGGUCCCAGCCUCUUGACACCCUCCCUUGUGAUAUUUGUACAUAUUGAUGAGAUCCCCUCUCGGUCUUCUCCAAGCUCUCCUCCAAGCAGGACAGAUGCUGCCGUCCCCUCGUCUCAGCUGGACUCGCUGCAGCAGCUCCAUGUCCGUCGUGCUUGGGAGCCCAGAGCUGGACGCAGUGCUCCAGGUGCGGCCUCCCCAGGGCUGAGCAGAGGGGCAGGAUCCCCUCCCUGGCCCCACUGGCAGCCCUCUUCCCACUGCACCCCAGGCUACUGUCAGCCUGUGAAACUGUAAAUACCAUUGGCCUAAGGAAAAUUAGGCAAGUUUGUACUAAGAGUGGUCAUGGCAUCAGGAAAGGGAGGAGCAAGCAGCAGGGGUGGGGAUGACAAUGACCACUGUGCUGUUUGCAACACUGACACGUUUUCUGUGAUUUUAUGAUUUUAUUUGUACUCUGUGUGGUGGAAUAGGACCCUGGUGACAUUUGGGUCCUUUAGGGCCGGCGUGUCCCCGAGCUGCUGUCCGGCCCUGGUCUCCGCAGGUCCUCUACUGCCGGCGGGGUGGCCUCUUCUUGGGUGGCGAAGGACCCUGGGAGGAGCUGUUCUUCCUCUUGGGGGCUCUCCGGGGCCCCCCAGGUUGGCACCCCGUGCCCCGCCUGGCGCUGGAGGGACCUGGUGCAGCCUCCUAUGGCUCCUCUGGAGGCGCUGCCUGUUCCAUGGGGACCGCAGCAGAGAUGGAGUGAGGGUGGCUGGGAGUCCCUUGCAGGCUGUCCCUGGAACUUGCAGGCACCUCAUCCCCGCUGGAGCUGGCGGGCUGUGGAGAGGGGCCUGGAACAGGUGGAGGAGCCACCCCUCUGUGUCCGGAUGGUCCGGGUGCGGGGCUGGCCUCCCGCUGCUGGGCUGCAGGUGGAGCGUUCAGUCGCAGCAGGCGGUGGGCCUCCCUGCUGCACCGUUGCGCGGCGACUUCCAGGAGCUGACUGACAAAUGUCGCCGCGUGGUGGCCGAGGUCGAGCUCCAUCAGCUGGACUAGGAGGUCUUCCUCAAGGCCAAAGAGGCGCAGGCUCUCCAUGAUGGCGUUCUCCAAGAUGAGCGCCUCCAAACGCUGUGCCCCGAAGACGCGCCCCAGCUCCCGGCGCACCCAGGAGAGCAGGGGCCGGAGGAGAGCAGGGUGCUUCCGGAAGAGUUGUCCCCAGGUGUCCGCAGUGGAGGCCGCCAGCGAAGGUGAUGGGAGCCCAGACAGGCGGCCUGUUGGCAGAUGCCACUGCCGAUGGGCUGAUGACGAGCUCCUCGAACUGAUCAUCAGCCUGCACCGAAUGCACUAGAGAUGUAAUUCUCCUCUUGCAGAGGGGGCACUCGGGCUUGCUGUCUGCCACUGCCGGAUGCACGGAUAGCAGAACUGGUGGCAACACGGCAUGGUGAACGCGGCGCUGCCCCAGGUGUCCAGACAUAUUGGGCAGCGGGUGUCCAGUGCCGCGGCCAUGCUUGCCACUGGUGGGCUGGGAGGAACAGCAGGUGACAAUCUCCUCCCAGGCACAGGAGCUGCAGCGGCGGGUGUCACUCUGGAAGAGGAAGAGAGGGGUCACAGUAAAUCUCUGGGGUGGGGAGGGUCCCUCAAGGAGGAACCUCAUGCUGCCUGUGCAAGGUGUCCCCAUGCAACUCACCUCUGCUGCUGCAGGUGCUCCUGCUGGAUGUCCCAGCUGCCUGUUGGGAACAGGGCUGGGAGAAAAGCAGAAGUGGCUCUGGAGACGUGAGCACCUUCCAGAACCAAGGCUUGCCUUGUUCCUCGCUCCAGUCCUCGCAAAGACGCUCGGAUAGAGGGGAGGCACAAACUGCUGGGCUGAGCCGCUGUGCCCAGAUUUAAGCCGUGAGGGCCACGCAAUCAUAAAGCAUCACCUGGAGACAUCGCAGCGCUUCAGCAAGAUGUCACAGACAGCCGCCAGGCACAUGGCCACCCCCCAGUAGGGGACAUCACUGGGAACAUCACAAUGGGCCAUCCUCACCUGCAGCACGUUCUCCAGCAGCUCUCCGGCCCCUGCACAUAUUUCUGGGCUCCCCCAGCACCACUAGGAGGGCUUGCAUAGGCUGCAAUUAAAGGACAAUAAAAGCCGUGACUGUUCCACAGACAAUGUCUUGGUCUGACCCAAAAGGAAGCUCAUGGCAGUGCCUGUGGGUGCUGCUAGUCAUGGCGUUUUUGGGGGACGCUCGCCUUGAGUCCUGGAAUGCUCUGACUCGUCAGGACCCUCUCACACUGUGUGACUAAAGAAAAGGUCCCUGCCCAUCAUGUGCUGGGGGCCCCAGAGGUGAACACAGGGCCCCAGGUGGGGUCUCACGAGAAGAAGGGGAGCAUCACUUCCCUCACCCUGCUGGCCACGCUGCUUUUGGUCCAGCCCAGGAUACGUUUGGCUUUCUGGACUGCAAGCACACACAGCCGGCUCAUGUGGAGCUUCACGUCAACCGACGCCCCCAGGUCCUUCUCCUCUGGGCUGCUCUCAAUCCAUUCUCUGUCCAACCUGGAUUUGUGCUUGGAAUUGUACCGGCCCAUGUGUAGGAGUUUGCACUUGGCCUUGCUGAACCUUAUAAAGUUGCACAGGCCCACCUCUCAGGCCUGCCCAGGUCCCUCUGGAUGGGAUCCCUCUCCUGCAGCACACUGACCGCACUGCACAGCCUUUUGUUAUUGGCAAACUUGCAGAAUGUGCACUCGAUCUCACUGUCCAUGUCCCUAACAUAGACGUUAGAACUGCACUCGUUGCAGAUCUCCACCAGGACAUUGAGCCAUUGACCACAGCUCUUUGCGUGCGACCAUCCAGCCGAUUCCUUUCCCACCAAGUGGUCCAUCCAUCAAAUACAUCUCUCCAUCUUAGAGACAAGGAUAGCAUAGAGGACAGCAUCAGAUACAUUGCACAAGGCCAGGCAGAUGAUGUCAGUUGUUCUGCCUCUAUCCACCAAACCCCGUUGUAGAAGACCACCAAGUUUGUUAGGCACAAUCUGCCCUUACUGAAGCCGUGGUGGAUGUCACCGAUCUCCUGCUUAAUGUGGAUAAAAUCUUAUCAGCAUCAGCUGUAUGGAUGAAGCACCUGGACAUUUGAUUUGUGAAAGCAAAUCAGAAGAGGUUUUUAUGUACAUCUUGGAAGAGAAAUUUAAGAGGGAAAUGGCCUGAUAACCUAACAUGUUUCAGAAGGUCUCAAAUGCUGUGCAAAACGAACCCCAGAACAUGCAGCAUAAAACCCUAGGGAAGAACCAUUAAAGAUAAUACAAAAGAGCGUAACUUGUAGAGGUGAAAUGAGAUGAUGAAAUUUGUUCUUGAGGAUGAGUCAGCGUACAGAGGAGCCCAUUUCUAAGAAAUAUGACAGAGGUACAGUCACUGACUAAGACUGAAUGACAUUCGUGGAAUAGCGUAAUUGCUGCCCUGAUGAGGAUUAUGGACUAGGUAGUGUCUUCUGUGUCUAGUUUUUGUAAUUGCCUGGAUUUGUUUCCUCUUUCAGCCUAUGGCACAUAAUAGUAUUUCACAUUGGUGCGGCCCCUUUCAACGACUGUUUUUUAAUAGCUUUAAUUAAUAGUUAAAAUUCCUCUUUGAGAUCAACAAGUGGUCUGCUUCUUACCCACGAGCUGGGAAAGGGAGAUAAGUAUGAAACGCAGCUCUCUGUAGGUGGGCGUUUACGAGGUCUGCGCAUUACUUCGAAUGACUGCUGCCAGAAGAAGAAUGGGAAAAUAUCUGAUCCGUGUGAGGAAGGAGCCCAGCCUGAACUGUAUGUAUGAAGUAUCCAGCGAGACUUGCCAGCAGAUGAGGAAUUAUCCAGUGAAUGUUUGCAAGUUAUUCUUAUGAAAACUGUGUUGGACAAUUUGAAAUCCAAUGUGUGAAGAAAGUCAAAUGAAUUGGGACCCUGUGCUGAGCUGUAGGAAAUCUUUGUUCAGGUAUGGUUGGCAGGCAAGACUUUUCCAUGACUUUUUACCAAAUAGCACCCCCUCAGCAUUGUUUGGUGCUCGUUUUACAUCCUGCAGGUAAAAUCCGGAGUAGUGUAGUGAGGACUACUGUGAUUUGCUAGAGAAGUCGAGAAUGUCAGAAUCUGAGUCAGUGUUUGAAAAGAAGCAAAGGCUCUUUUGUCUGCUUUGACACCUGAUACAGAGAGAUUUCUGCAGCAAAGAUUUCCACUUGCAGUGCAUAAAAGCGCUGUAGGCCCUGUUUCCUACUUGAGCUAUCUGGGGAGUAAAUCUCUCAGAUUGUUCCAAACGGCACUGAUACGUAACGUCAGGAGGAAUGUGCAGAGAAUGGAUAUAAUGUGAAAAAUCUACAAGGCUGAAAAUAAAAACUAAACACCCCUCUGAUCUGCACGCAUAAUCCCAUGGUGCAGCUGACCCAGAAUUGUAAUGCAAAUAUUGUAGUUCAAUCAGGCUAUUUUAAGACAGGCUAGGAAUGAGGCUUCUACUUUCCCCAGAAGGAAUGUACAUCAUUGCCUCUUCUUUAAUUUCCUUUUGAUUAAAAAAAUAUUAGACUGUCUGAAGCGUAUGUGCUAUCUUUUCUGUGAGUUGAGGAAAAGAGAAAAAUCAAAAGGAAUGAGAAAUACAGGUGAACUUGUCAAUUCAGGUUCAGUGGGAAAAGCUUAGAACUUUUUGUAAGAUGCUUUUUAUAUGAUUUAGUGUGGCUGAUUAAAAAAUUCAAUUUCUUUCCUUCUGUCUUUCUAAAAUUCCCAAAUCCACAACUGAGAUUUUGGAUAAGGUACUGAGGGGAGGGAACAAGGGGAUGUGAGUUAAAUUUCUUCCCUUGGAAAUUGUUCAAGGUUUAUUUACAAUUGUCCUAAGUUCAGUGGUUGGUGAGAUGCAUGUUUUUGAUGCCUGAAGUAUGCUGGAGCCAAGCUUUAUUGUUGCCUCAUUUAUUGCAGCCAACAAAAAUAACUGGUGGCAAAACCUUUGUUUUUGAACUUUGAUUGUUUUCUGAGGUUUGCAAAAUAUUUGCAAAAUGAAAGGUCUUACAAAAUUU